rnacentral:lncRNA from 1 species
GGCUUACGCACCUCCUCGAUGGGAACAUCAAGCUACCGAGCAUUGGGGCAAUGGAAAAGGACACAGCCAGGUGGGAAAGUCACAUGAAGCGAUAUGGCAGGAGGAACUUCCGGAGAUCAUGCGUUGGAACCUCCAACAUUUGGUACAAUGACCAGCUGUGCAAGGACAUGAACUGCAAUCCCAGAAGAAAGACGGGGUUUUUGGCCGAGUGGUUCCAACCUUAUGGACCAGCUGAUUAUGCAGGCCUCGCUGAUCAGAAACGCUGAACAACAAACAUGUCCUUAUGAUCGGUGAUGAGUUCUGAACAAAGACAUUAUCCUCCUUAUGAUCAGAGAUGAACUCGACAUUUUGCUUGUAAUAUUUUGUAUUGCAAAAGUCUACAAGAUUCAAGUCAUAUGAAUGUUCGACCAAAAAAAAAAAAAAAAGUCAUAUGAAUGCAAAAAUAAGAGUAAUUUUUGGCAUUUUUAAUGUAACUUCUUGAGACAACCCACCCCUCAAACCAUGCUCUACAGAUUGAGGGUGAGAAAUACAUAUUUUCGUAUGGCGAUUUGAAAUAAGCCCACUUUCAAUGGCUUCUCGUGCUCUUGCUGGAUUCCUUAAUUCAACAAGACAUCUGAGUCUACCCCCUCAUGCUUCUCUAUGACUGCCAACGGUUGUAGAGAAUCCAAAGAGUAAAUGCGGAUUGUAACAGAGAGAAAGAUGCCCUCAACUCAUAAAGAAAAUACAAGAUUAAUUAAAGAUGAUGUAACAAGUGAGCCGACACACACGAGCAUCGCAGCAGCCGAAAAUAAUCAUUGAUCAAAUUGUAGAAAUCAAGGACCACAUAAUAAUUAGUAUAAUUUGCUGAAGACAAAAGCUUCGAGAAGAGGGAGUACAGGGAACUCCUUUUAGUCGUCUUUCCUUUCUCGGGGAAGGCAAGGAAGAUGCAACGAUGCGCGUUUUAAGAUAUAUUAAUAGCAAAAUUUGUAAGGAGCCCCCAAGGUACUCCCUGCCUGCAUUUCCACAUACCAUGCACUCGAGAACAUAUAAACAUCACCCGGAUGCCAAACUACGAUAAAGAAGACACUGAUGAGCUAGAAACCCAGAUCAAGAAACAGAGAGGCCACGCUCUGCAACGAUCUUGAUGACCAUGGCUUCCCCUUUGGUGCACCAGCUAUCUUUCGCCAAGCACGCUGUUCUUCCUCGUGAAUCCCGUCUGCAACCUCGUCCCUAGUUCUCGUCUGUACGCUUCCCCUCGUUCAGUGUCCGAGCCAGCUCUGUUCUUGCUGUCGAGCAGGUACACUUUCCAAAUUGUUGGGAAUAACGGAUCCCCGAAAACCGGAUUGACACUAAAUCGAACCCUAAUCAAUGUGGAAGACGAGCCNNNNNNNNNNNNNNNNNNNNNNNNNNNNNNNNNNNNNNNNNNNNNNNNNNNNNNNNNNNNNNNNNNNNNNNNNNNNNNNNNNNNNNNNNNNNNNNNNNNNCACGUAUAACGAUUUAAAGCACACCACGGAUUCGAGCGUACCUUUUAAUCCACAGAUUAGACACCGACGCCGAUAGGAGGAAGAGAUUUGGCCCUGUUCGAUCCGAUGACGCCUUGAAGGGAAGAAGAAACGUGCCUUUUGCCUUACUGUUUCUUCUUUGGAGAGAGAGAGAGCGCGCGGGAGAGGAGAAGACGUACGUUCACUUUCUGUUUUCUUCAAAACGGUACGUUCUCUCUCUCUCUCUCUCUCUCCUCCCCUUUUAUAUGUCCCUACAUCCACGGGCCCUAUUCCCAUGGGCCGGGCUUUUUGGGCCCAACUUGGGCGGACGGGCCUUAAGCCCAUCUCAUAUAAAACCAUCAUCUCCCACUCGCACAUGGUGGGCCGAACAGGAUUCUCUUUACCUCUCUUCAACAUUCAUACCGGUGAAUAAUCCGUGUGACCAGCAUACUUUGAGAGCUCGUUGCUAUACAUCUGUUAGGAAUAUAUAGCAGCUCAUAAUGGGCGUCACACUCCGAGUAGAUUUAGUAUGCAGUACCCUAGAUCGAUCGAUCACAUUUAUAUCUCUCUUGAUCUCUUUUAAACAUGAUAUAUAUAAUAUAUAUAUAUAUAUAUAUAUAUAUAUUAUUCACAAUUACAGUUAUCACAAAGACAAUCAUAAUUGGUCGACCAGUGAAUACAAAACUACAAUGUGAUUUCCCAAAAUCGAUCUUCCUCUUUCUUUCAAACUCUCAAUUUCAGUUCAGCUUGCUUUUCUAGAAAUGUCCCAUUAGAUCGAAUCAACUCAUGACCAUUGGCAACAUCCUAAGAUAGCAAACACUAAAUAGAAACCUUGAGAAUAAGUAAAAGUCAUGAGGGCACUAAAAUUGAGGAACUCUUUUCCUCAAGAGUCUCACACGUCAUAAAAGUUGAGAUCAAACUUUUUGCCACUCUUAUUGGUCGGCUUAUGCAUACGUAGUAUGAAAUACGUAUUACAGUAUUAACUCCUUUCCCAUGGAGCGUAUGUCUACACCUUUCAAUACCGUACAGAUGAUAGUUCAGACAUAUCCAAUGUCUAACUUGAGUUCACGUAUCUACUCUUUUACAAAAUUCAUCAGAACUCACAUCUGGCAUCUUAGACAAAUAAAGUAAAAUAUGUGGGGUAUUUUACUUUCGGACAUAGUAAGUAUUAUGUCAUCAUCUUAACACUCAGUUAAGGCGACAUACGUAUUUUAAGCUUGAGCUCUCGAUUAUCACCUAGAUAAUAAGCUUAAAAACAGUCUCAUCUCUAUUUAUCACAUAGUAAAUAGAGGCGAUUACCCGUGUGAGUGGGCUAAUCUUUUAUCUGUCCGACAUACUUUCUCAACUUAAAAUAAUGCACUGAACAUUAAGAUACAUAAAGAUCAAACAAAGAUUCAUAGGCAUUAAUAAUGAAACAACACUAGUUCAUAAAUGUGAACAACUCAGGGAAAUUACAAUCCAGUACAUCAGACUCUAUGCAAUCCUAGAGAUUUUACAUGACAACAAAACACAUCUCUAGGUAUUGGCUUUGUCAUAGGAUCUGCUACCAUUCUAUGCGUAGAUAUGUACUGUAAGUUCACAUCCUUUCGUGCAACCAUAUCCUUGACAAAGUUAUACUUGGUAUCUAUAUGUUUGGUCUUGCCAUGAUACUUUGGAUCUUUGGUGUAUGCUAUAGCUGCUUGGCUAUCACAAUUAACCAAUAAUGGAUUUGCAGCUUUCUCAAUAACACCUAAAUGAUCCAAAAUCUCUUAAGCCAAACUCCUUCUUGUACUGCUGCUGAUAAUGCCACGAACUCAACUUCCAUCGUGGAUAAUGCUAUGCACGUUUGCUUCUUACUACUCCAUGAUAUGGCGCCAUUGCUCAGUAAGAAAGCAAAUCCUGAGGUAGAUUUUCUUUCAUCUAAAUCUCCUCCCCAAUCAACAUCUGAAUAGCCCUCAAGUCGCAGAUCAUUUCUUUGGUAAUUCAACUUGUAAUUAGCAGUUCCCUUCAAAUACCUUAGUAUUCUCUUAACGGCCUUCCAAUGUGCUGGACCUGGAUUGGAUUGGUAUCUACUCACCAUUCCAACUGCAAAACAUAUGUCGGGCCUUGUACACAUCAUAGCGUACAUCAAGCUCCUAACAACACUUGCAUAAGGAACAUGUUUCAUUUGUUCCUUCUCUUGUGAAGUCCUUGGACACAGUCUAUGGCUAAAUCCUUCACCUUUUGCAAUAGGAGUGUCUAUGGGUUUACAAUCUUGCAUACUUAACUCCAAAAAUGUAUGCAACCUCACCCAUGUCCUUCAUCUCAAAGUUGGAAGACAACCAACUCUUGACAGUCUUAACAAACUCCAUAUUGCUUCCGGCAAUUAGUAUAUCAUCAACGUAUAAUGAUAUGAUCACAAAUUGAUCCUUGGAUCUUUUGAUAUAUACACAAUGAUCCUCAUCAAUCAUCGUAAAAUCAUAUGCCAUUAUGGCAUUAUGAAAACGUAUAUACCAUUGUCUUGAUGACUGCUUAAGACCAUAUAUCGACCUCAAAAGUCAACAUACUUUUUCUUCUUGGCCUUUCACUAUGAAACCAACAGGUUAUUCCAUAUAUAUUUCUUCCUCUAAUUCUCCAUUGAGGAAAGCAGUCUUUACAUCCAUUUGAUGUAACUCAAGAUCCAGACUAACCACUAUUGCCAGAAUAAUGCGAAUCGAGGUAAAUUUCACUACAAGAGAAAAUGUAUUUUCAUAAUCAAUUCCUUCUUGUUGAUUAUACCCCUUUGUCACAAGGCGAGCCUUAUGCUUUUCAAUCGAGCCAUCAGCCUUUCACUUUAUUUUGAGAACCCACUUGUUCCUAAUAGCUCUGCGUCCUUUUGGAAGAUCAACCAGUUCCCAAACUUUGUUUGAUUUCAUUGACUCCAUUUCCUUUUCCAUUGCAUUAAUCCAUUUUUCCUUACUAGGGCAAUUCAAAGCCUCAUUAAUAUUCCUUGGCUCAUCCUCAUCUUGUGGAGCAACCAUAAAAGUUUCCCCUUCAAUGUCAAAACGUCGACGGGAAAUACUUUGGCGACUUGUUCGCCAUAUGGGAGAUUGUACACUUUGCACAUCAUUCCCCAUCAUGCUCCCACUUGGAUUAGGCAAUGAUGAUGUCGUCUCAUCAUGUGGUUGCAAUUGAGAAUGAGUUGAAUUCAAUUCAUCACUUCUCAUAUUACUUCCACUUGGACGAACUCCACUAACAUCAUUAUCCUGAUCCAAUGUCUUAAAUAAGGAACAAUCUUCCCCUAUUUCGCCAUUCUUAGGAAAUUCAUCCUCUAAGAAUGUGACAUCUCGUGAUUCAAACUCAGUUAUACUCACACUUUCCUGCUCACCUAUGAACACAUAUCCUUUCGAGUGUUCUGAGUACCUUAUGAAAAUACUCUUCUUUCCUCUGGGACCCAAUUUCCCAAAUUUGUGAGAGGACUCAUGUGUAUAGGCGGCACAACCCCAUGGCUUAAGAAAACUUAAGUCCGGUUUUCUACCUGUCCAUAACUCAUAUGGAGUGGAAGUAACUGAUUUGGAAGGCACAUGGUUAAGUAUAUAGGCAGCAGUUAACAACGCAUCACUCCAAAAGGUAAUAGGUAAGUUAGCAUGCCCAAUCAUGGGCCUAACCAUUUCCAGUAGGGUUCUGUUUCUUCUCUCCGCAAUACCAUUUUGUUGAGGAGUAUAUGGAAUAGACAACUGUCUUUCUAUUCCUUUUUCAUCACAUAAUUUUCUGAACUCAUCAGAUAAAUAUUCUUGACCUCGAUCGGAUCUCAAUGCUUUUAUUUUCUUGUCUAAUUAAUUCUCUACCAGGUUCAUAAACCUUUUGAAACAACUUAUUGCUUCAGAUUUAUGAGAAAUCAAAUAGACAUAUCCGAAUCGAGUAUAAUCAUCUAUAAAGGUGAUGAAAUAAACAGCCCCAUGCCUUCCUUUCACAUUCAUUGGACCACAAACAUCAGAAUGGAUUAAAUGCAGAGGAAAUUCAGCUAUUUUACUUUUCCCAAAUGGUUUCCUUGUCGUUUUCCCUUCUAGGCAAUGCUUACAUAUGGGCAAAUCGACUUUUUCAAUGUUGCCUAACAAGCCCUCUUUGGCUAGCCUAUUCAUACGAUGUUGGCCAAUGUGACCAAGUCUAGCAUGCCACACAUUCACAUCAUUAUUAUAUGUAUUAGGAGACGUGAGAAGGGAAUAACAAACAUUUAUAUUAACAUAAUCAAUAUCUAAUACAAUGAAACCAUCCAGAAAAUAACCAUGACCAUAGUAAUUUGUAUUCAAAAACAAAUCAACACCUCUAUUAUAGAAGUUCAUAUUAAAACCUAAUUUAACCAAUACUAAUACAGACACUAAAUUCCGACGAAUCUCCGGAGCAUAUAACACAUCAUGUAGGAACAAAGUGCGUUCACCACGCAUCUUCAGUUGGCAUGUGCCAAUUCCUUUAACUUCAGCUCUGGAGUUGUUUUCCACAUAGAUCCACUUAGUUCCAAUUGGUACUCAUCGGAAUUCCACGAAGGAUCCUCUAUCCUUCGCUACAUGGUCCGUCGCUCCUGAAUCCAUAGUCCACAAAGGAUUAGACUCAGUUAAGAACACAGAACUCGACACAAAAGUAAAGUUCUGAAAAGUACAAGGGGUGCAUACCUUCUUUGGCUCACGACAGUCGCGAGCAUAGUGACCCUUCUUGUCACAGUUGUAGCAUUUCACCCUUGCAAGCUUCUUCAUGCGAGGACGCUUUCCUCUUUCAUAUUGGUUAAACUUGGGUUUCUUCCCUAAGGACCUUCUUCCUUGCAUUUCCCUUUAUCAAACCAGUUAGGGCGCUUGCGCUUGGAGCUCGAAGCUCCAUUUGAGCUAGAACUAGCAUGAUAGAGUUCUGCAUCCGACUUAGCCGCCAAGAGGCGGUCCUCUUCCUGCUCAAGAUGGCGCACUGCAUCCUCAAAAGAUUUGAUAUUUUCAUUAUGGGUCAAGUGCACCUUCAUAUGCUCCCAACUCUGAGGCAAGGAACGAAUCACUGCUUGCACCUGCUACUCAUCUGUGAGGACAUGACCAGCAUCUUUUAGCUCAUUUAUCAUGUUUGACAUCUUUCUAAGAUGUUGCUUCAUGGUCUGACCAUGAGACUUCUUAUAGGAGUCAAACCUAAUAGUGAGCUGUCUCACUCUGGUCACCGAAGUAUGACCAAAUAUAGCUGCCAAUGCCUCCCACAUUUCCUUGGCAUUGUCAAAACGCCUAAACUCUCGCAUGACGUCAUUUUUCAUGCUGCUCAACAACGUGAUGCGAGCAAGAGAGUUCUUUCAUUUCCAUGCAGCAAAAACUUCCUUAUAUCUUUUGUGCUGUGCAGUAUUUCCUUCUUCAGGUUCUACCAUGGUCAGCUUUUCCAGCACAUAUUGGAUUUUCAUAUGCCAUAUCUCAUAGUUGUCACCAUUGAGCUUUUCACCUUUGUUCAGCUCGGCAACUAUGCUCUUCGUGGCUGAAGCCAUUGAUCUGAACACAUCAGACAUAUAUGCACGAAUUAUUGAUGUCUAUCAUUUAUGCAUCCCUAUUUGCAUAGACCCAUCAUAUUAAUGAAUAAUUUCAAGUAAGGUUUCAGAAUCAAAAGGUCACUAUGUUUCCAAUCAUCCUCCAAAAUCCUAACUUAAAACUAUCAUCAAUAUAAUUUUCUUAUGCAAAAUAAAUUCUAUGAAGUUACAAAAACUUCUAUAACUACCCACAUCUAACUAUUCACAGCAACCAGCAAUAACAGAAAGCAACAGAUAAUUGACAUACAAUAUAAUGAGCUUUCAUAUAAUACAACUAACAUAUAGGUUGCUAUAUCAACAACAAUCAGGUAGUAAGCAUUACAUAAGAUGUCCACAAAGCACACUUAACUAAGAAAACAGCUAAUACAUCUAACACCAAGCCAGCACACGAACUGGGAAAGAUCCUCUUUUGUUCAAUUUAUUGAUCUUUUCCCUUGUAACAAUGCAGUAAUAUUCAUUUACAAAAUCCAUCACAAUUUUCUUAUAUGAAGCAGCUCCGUUGAAAUCCCAUAUGCGAUUCAACACAUCUUGCCAUUCAGGUGGAAGAGUGUUUAUGAAAAAUCGCACCAUCUCUGACUGUGGCAUAGGACGACCAUUCCAUAUGACCUGUUGAAUCUUCCCAUUGACCUCAAGGACAUGAUCAAUUAAGUCUCCACUCUCCCAUCGAUGAUCAGUCAACUCAGCUAUCAACUUAGACAGCCUAUCCUUUUGUUCAUCGGUAACUGCGCGAAUAGGUGUGCGCAACCUCAGGAGAGGCAUUGUUCGUGCAACAAAUGCAGAACUGUUCUUGCAACAAAUGCAGAACAAAUAAGGGAUCACAAAUAAUCCACAUAGACUUAAUUGAAAAAGAAACACAUUCUUUUCCUCUCUCUUUUUUGGUCAACGGUCAACGGUCAGCGGUCAAUGGUCAGGUCGUCGGUCGUCGGAUCGGUCGGACCGGACAGACCGGUCGGACCGGACGGGCCGGUUCUGGCGAACCGACGGCACGUGCCGCACGCGUGCGCUGGCUGACAUCAUGCAGACGUCAGACGGCACGUGCUGCGCGCGUGCCGGGCGUUCGCGGGUCGGGUCGGGUCGGGUCGCCGGCCGGUGACCGCCCGGCCAACCGUCGUUGUGCUGACGUCAUCGAUGACGUCACCCCAGCGGUUACUGACCGUUGGGUGACGUCAACACGCAUCGGUCCGUCGACCGGCGCGUGCCGGUUCGCCGGCCGGCGGCGAGCACGUGCCGGUUCGCCGACUGGCGCGUGUGUCGCACGCGCUGGGCGAGCCAGCGCUUCCGAGCGCGUGCGGCAUCUCCCGGCGGCAUGCGACAUAUUGCCAGACUCAUCUCGACGACCCCUUUCUCCCUAUGCCAUCAGAAUUUGAUUUUGACUUACGAAAACUCGGAAAAAAAAAAUGGGCGAACAACGCUCGGGUGUCGGGAUUUCUCGCCCCGAUCCGUACAGCCGAAUUACUUUCGCGAAAAAUCAAUCAAAAAACAUCAAACAGGUCGGGCAAACGUGAACAAGGGCUAUAAUACUAAUGUUAGGAAUAACGGAUCCCCGAAAACCGGAUUCGACACUAAAUCGAACCCUUAAAUCAAUGCGGAAGACGAGCCCGGGAAAAUAACACGUAUCACCUAUCCUAAAGCACACCAUGGAUUCGAGCGUACCUUUUAAGCCACAGAUUAGACACCGACGCCGAUAAGAGGAAGAGAUUUGGCCCUGUUCGAUCCGAUGACGCCUUGAAGGGAAGAAGAAACGUGCCUUUUGCCUUACUGUUUCUUCUUUGGUGAGAGAGAGAGAGCGUGCGGGAGAGGAGAAGACGUACGUUCACUUUCUGUUUUCUUCAAAACGGUACGUUCUCUCUCUCUCUCCUCCCCUUUUAUAUGUCCCUAUAUCCACGGGCCCUAUUCCCGUGGACCGGGCUUUUUGGGCCCAACUUGGGCGGACGGGCCUUAAGCCCAUCUCAUAUAAAACCAUCACAAAUGUUACGCCUUCUUUUUCCUUUCUGUCUCUCUCUUUCUUUAUUUUGCCCCCAGUGUAUCAUGGAGUUCACACUAAACAGUAUUUUUUAGGCUGUUGAUAUGCUGUAACUAUGGCCGUUUAUUUCAUCGAAAAUGACAAAUGAUAUGAAAAAUAAUUUUCAAACAAUGGUGGCUUUUGUUAUUUAAAAUAACUAAUCAAUAAAAAUUAUUUCUAUUAUCAAUGAUAAUUUAUGUUUAGAUGAAAAUAUUUUUCGUUUAUUCAUUUUUAUAAUUGAUAUGAGCGAUUAUUUUUACGAAAGCGUUUUUAAGAUCAUUCAUAUGUAUGCUCUAGUUGUUGUUAUUGUAGUUCUCAUGCUUUUAUUCCACAAAAAAGAAGUAAACUGUAAUGAGUAUGACAUGAAGAACUGUCAAGAACCCCAGCGCCAGUCACCUAACAAGUAAAAACUUUGAUUGAGCCUUACUUGCUGAAAUUUUGUAGCAUUUUUCUGUUUGUGUGUUUCCCGUAGCAUGGUCUUCAAGGUGUUCAAUCUGAUUUUGUGAUGCGGUGACUUUCUGAUUGUAUAAGCCUUAUUAGUCCACAACAGUGUGAUUUGACGAUAAUACAUUGGACCCAUCUCGAUUUAUCACUUCACCAGAAUUAGACUUCGUAAUUGCAAAUGUUUGGAAUUCGAAAGAGCUGCAACAUCAACUUAGAAAGGCUGGAUUUUUUAUCGCCUCUUGAAUUGGUGAGCCAAAUAGGAAGUCAAAUUUGUUUUCUGCGUAGCAAUUUAGUUUAUGAUGCAUUUGUGAAUGAUAACUGUAAUAGAGCCAUCUAUAGAUUUUUUUUUUUCUUUCCAAUUUAAUGGAUCUGCUUCAGCUGAACCGUCUUAGUGCUGGAUCUCUGGUCUGUUCAUGACAGAUCAUUUUUCUUUAGUAAUGUGCCCGACAAACUGGAACUCUUUUGAGAUGUCAUUUUUUGGGAUAUAUGCCUGCGACAACAUCCUGCACCAGCUUCUUUAUUUCUUUCAUUCGUUUAUAUGCUUGUGAAUGAAUCAGAAUUCUCAUAUCUCAGGACUUGGGAACUCAGAAAGAUCAAACUUUAGAGUCUGAGAUAUUUUCAUGCCCGAUAUGCUAUGAAUCCUUAAUAAGAAGAGGCCCAUCUGGUUUAAACUUGUAAGUUCUGGAACUCAUCUUCUGAUUUAGGCAACCGUUUCUGCAUUAAUGCUUUGAUGGGAUUAGUUCUGACACCUAACUUCAAAAUUUUCAGGGAAGCUAUGCAUGGCUCUGGUUUUAAGUGCAACCGUUGCAAAAAGUCAUAUUCCAGCAAUGGCAACUUUCUAGACCUUACUCUUACUGCUGGUUUAAGGAACUACAUCGAAGUGAAGCCAAGGCAGACAGAACUAUUCAGGUAUCAUUAACUGCUUGGUCUACAACCAGGCUGCUGCACUUGAAUUAUGGAAUUAUCAUCGUAUAUACCUUUUGCGCUAUUGGUGUAAAGGUCAUCUUCUUUCUUUACCUUUUAACCACUACCUUUUUAGCUUUUUACCUCCACAUCUGAGGUUGUGUUUAGUUGGUCGGGGUGGAAAGCAGGUGAGGGAGAACAAGUCCUUAUUUCAUUUGUUGAACUGUGAGGAAGUUCAUAUAAACCAGAAGGGAACUUUAGAAAUCAUAAAUUUCGUAAUGCUUAUUUGGAGAUUGUGCCAUUAUUAGAGAUGACUUUAUACUUUUUAACUUCUGAAUUUACUGUGUGAUGGAAAGGACAUUCACAUAAGAAUGGGAGGUUUCCUCUCCACAAGGAUGGAUGUGCUAGAUUCCUUGCACCUAUUGAGAAUAAUACGUGGUCUUUUUGCAAUUUCCUCAUUCUCAGAUUAUACUUUUCUGCUCAAUUACAACCAAUAAUAUUAUUUAAUUUGAAGGUACAUAAUGUAUAUUCUUGCUCAACUUCUGCACUACGUCAUCUUCUCUAGAUUGCCUUUAAGAUUCCCUGAUAAAUUUUCUGUGUAAGUUCUGAUUCUUCAACUUGCAUUCUUCCUUCUGCUAGGAGCCCCCUUGUUUCAUUCUUAUACGAGAGAGGCUGGCGUCAGAAUUUUAAACACAGUGGCUUUCCUGGUCAAGAGGAAGAAGUACGGUUUCUGGCUCAUUUUAUCCAUUAGAAUUAUUAGCUAUGAGGAUAUGUGGAAGGUCAUUUUGAUACUGCACUAGCUGUAGAAAUUUUACCGUGUAAAAUGUGCAAGCGGUGUUCUUACAUGAGCUAUAAAAAAGUAUCAGAUUCCUCCACUAAACCUGUUAUGAAGUAGCAAGCUAAUUUUAAAUUCCAAAGUUCCUUUGUUCUAGCAAGAUUUCCAUUACAAGCUGCUAAAGGCGUGAUCUAUUAUCUGAAUGCAGUUCAAAAUGGCUCAAGAGUACUUCAAACCUGCAGAGGGUGGCCUUCUACUUGAUGUUAGCUGUGGAAGUGGUUUGUUUUCCAGAAAAUUUGCAAAAUCCGGGACUUAUUCCGGAGUAAUUGCUCUUGAUUAUUCUGAAAAUAUGCUGUGCCAGUGUUAUGAUUUCAUUAAACAGGAUGAUGCUGUUUUAAAAGCGUAAGUUCUUACACAUAGGAACUUGAAAUUAUGGAAGCUGUCAAGUAAAAUGUUGUUCUUGUAUGCCUGCGAACUUAAUAUAUCAUAGAGGAGAUGGGUUUCAUGAACCCCACCUCUUUGGGACAUUUGCAGGAAUCUAGCUCUUGUUAGAGCUGAUGUUUCAAGGCUUCCGUUCUCAUCUGGUUCGGUCGACGCUGUUCAUGCUGGGGCAGCAUUGCACUGCUGGCCUUCCCCUUCCAACGCUGUAUGUUUCUAUCUCAGUUAAUCUAGCUCCGUGUUAUUGAGCCGUACCGUCUCAUAAGUCUCAUGGACAUGCCAGAAAUUGACUAGAUAUUGGAGUUUAUAUAUUCAGGGGCUUCAGACAAUUCAGGAUGAGUAGAGAGAAUUUCUAAUACUAAUCAUGACACAUACCAUCGAAUGAAUGUUAGGCUUGUAGUUGUAUCACAGAUGGAUGUCGUUCCAAGCAGCUUAGCUCAUUAUUUUCUAUUUUGACUCCUGAAGAUAAUUUUGUCUGGGUCAUCGUUUCCUUCAGUGGGCAAUCCUAUGAAAACUUGGAAGAGAUUUUAUCGAUUGCAAAUAUAGCUGACAGUUAUGUAGCCUUUAUAGCUUUGAAUAUAGCCAAGCCAUUAUUACUUUGAAUAUGGCCUAUGGCCCAAAUCAUCCUAUUUUUAGUGUUCAUACUGGCAAAGUCACUUAAUCGAAGGAUGGCUGAGCUCAUUAUCAAGUUAAAAUGGAAACUGGCCAGCUGCCACGGCCCUGGACAUCAUUAUUGCACUACUCACUUUCAACAAAAAUUAGCAUUGAGUUGCCAACAAUUGCCAUUAUAGCAGGGGAUUACUUACCACAGGUAUCCGUGAGUUGAAGGAUUUAUGGGGGAUUACGGCUAGAGGCAACAUCAGACACUGUACUAUGUCUUCCUCCAGAAGGCAGAAGUAUGUCAGAAGCAUUGGGGGGGGGGGGGGGGGGGGGGGAGCUCAGACAAUGGCAAAGAACUCUUUGUCAUAAGUCGAAUAAAUCCUCUUGGAAUCGAAUAGCUCCUCGCUGAAGUAUGACAAUGGUUUUAGUGCUUGCACAAGAGCCCCACCAAUACCAACUCCACUUGUNNNNNNNNNNNNNNNNNNNNNNNNNNNNNNNNNNNNNNNNNNNNNNNNNNNNNNNNNNNNNNNNNNNNNNNNNNNNNNNNNNNNNNNNNNNNNNNNNNNNCAUGAGGAGAUAGGAUUGUGCACAUCAUGUGGUCUAACCAAUUACACAAGCAAAACUCAGCAAUCCUUCAUCAUGUUCUCUGCACAGAAGCCUUGACACCAAGUAAUGCUCAAAAUAAAGAUAUUAUUAGCCCCAUGACUAGUUUCAGUGUUUCUUCCUUAUCAAUGAAGGACAUGAUUUCUGAGAACAUAUGACAUUGUGAGCUUGAGUUCUGGGGGGGUGUAAAGCCCUGGAUUGUUUCCAAUAAGAAUGAAAUGCAAUUUGGUGUCAGAAUGAUAAUAUUUUAGGGCCUUCUUCGUAAGCUUGAGAGGGACCGAAAUGACAGUGCAACGGCCAACGCCACAGUCGGUUUUUUUUGCUAAUGAUGGUUUGAAUCCAAUGGUUGAUGGCCCCACAUGGUCAAACUGAUAAGAACAUAGUGUUAGUCUGCAGUCGAUCCAAUUUGUUUUUAGCGUUUAGGAGACCAAAACAAACAACUCACGAGAGUUCUCUAUUGUUAUUCUUUUCAGAGAAAAGACCAAGUUCUUGGAGCUGCACAUAAGGUUGACAUGUAGACCAAAAAAUGAAGUCGAAUUGACUCUUAUGAUGUACCUUAUAGGAAAAGAAGGGAUUCGAAUAAUCAUAAGAGAAUGGAAUUGGAGAGAUCAACUAAUAAUCUCGUUUGGUUUCUAGCCAGAGAAAGGAAUGAACUAUAUGUGUUGCGACUAUACUUCAAGGUCUUUUUGUGUGAUUGUAAUAAAAACUAUAGUAAGGGUAAAAAUGGGAAGAAAAUGAAAUUAUCCGACAAAAGUANNNNNNNNNNNNNNNNNNNNNNNNNNNNNNNNNNNNNNNNNNNNNNNNNNNNNNNNNNNNNNNNNNNNNNNNNNNNNNNNNNNNNNNNNNNNNNNNNNNNNNNNNNNNNNNNNNNNNNNNNNNNNNNNNNNNNNNNNNNNNNNNNNNNNNNNNNNNNNNNNNNNNNNNNNNNNNNNNNNNNNNNNNNNNNNNNNNNNNNNNNNNNNNNNNNNNNNNNNNNNNNNNNNNNNNNNNNNNNNNNNNNNNNNNNNNNNNNNNNNNNNNNNNNNNNNNNNNNNNNNNNNNNNNNNNNNNNNNNNNNNNNNNNNNNNNNNNNNNNNNNNNNNNNNNNNNNNNNNNNNNNNNNNNNNNNNNNNNNNNNNNNNNNNNNNNNNNNNNNNNNNNNNNNNNNNNNNNNNNNNNNNNNNNNNNNNNNNNNNNNNNNNNNNNNNNNNNNNNNNNNNNNNNNNNNNNNNNNNNNNNNNNNNNNNNNNNNNNNNNNNNNNNNNNNNNNNNNNNNNNNNNNNNNNNNNNNNNNNNNNNNNNNNNNNNNNNNNNNNNNNNNNNNNNNNNNNNNNNNNNNNNNNNNNNNNNNNNNNNNNNNNNNNNNNNNNNNNNNNNNNNNNNNNNNNNNNNNCAAAUUACACUAAACACAUCUCACCAAAAAUUUUAGACUUUUCCCAAAAAUCCCAUAAAAAAACGGCACAUACAACCCCCGCUCCACCUCUGGUGCACAGUCUCAAGGGGAUAACGGUAAAAGCAACAUUAAUCCAGUAUUAAGGUUUUUUUCUCUAGUUCACCAAAGUAUUUUAAAACAUCCAGGGGUGUUUGGGGGGGGGGGGGUUAGAGAGAGGGUAGAAAUUAAUUAGGAAUGAAGCUUGCAUAAAUCAUAUGAGUUACUUAGUACCACUGUGCAGUGAUGAGACGUUAGCAGAUUGGUCUACGAGGGGCCACUAGUAAACUCGUGCAGUAUUUCACACACACACACCCAUAUAUAUCCUGGCUAUAUUGACCCGGUAGGGACGCUGUGGUGGAAGAGGGGAUGGGGUGUGCUUGGGGAGUUUGAAAUAUUUGUAGCUUUAAAUAGUUACUAGCAUAUUUUAGAUUCUGGUUUUAAAGGGUUGUGGAAUCUGUACUGUUUCAAAUAACUCCUUGCAGGUAAUUUUAAAGGUUUAUAAUUUCAAAUCUGAAUGGAAAAAUAUGAUAAUUCAUGGAUCUAGUUUUCACCUGAAGUGCUCAAAGCAAAUUUCAUCAUGGCUGAAUGUGGCUUAUCAAUGACAGAUUCAGUUUAAUGUAGUCACAGUACAAUGAUGUCAAAAAAGACGUGGAAAAGAAAUUUAAGUGAUUACAGGUCUGAUGAGCUUUAGCUGCGGAAUAAGUUUCAGGUAUAGACACUAUUUUUCAUCUCCAUUACAUGGCUCAUGUAAAGUUCUCUACUCCUCUGCCAUUUAUUGGCAGAUUGCAGAAAUUAGUCGAGUAUUGAGAAGCGGUGGAGUUUUUGUGGGAACCACUUUCCUCCGGUACACUCCAUCCACUCCCUGGAUAAUACAGCCUUUCAGACAGGUACAUCUGUAUGCAUACAGCUUGGCACAUUAGACCCGUUUUUAUUCUUGUAAUUAACUUCUAGAACUGUGUUAAAUAAGCGAGGGACCACUUUUGUACACUUUAACCUGCAUAUAUUGCUACUCCUCGCAGACCAUGAAGAGAUGGAAAAUAAGAAAAACUAAUUCACUUACGAAUGGAUUGUCGUUUCAUUAAGGUCUCUGAUAGAGGUUUAGAUUUCGAACAUCCAAUGCAUGUGUAUUGACAAUUGAUCCAUAUCAUGGACUGGUGGCAAGCCCAGUUGCUCUGUUUAUAGUACAUACUUCCAUCAAUGAUUACUUGUGUGACUGUUUUCAAGAACCAAUCCAUAUUUACCUUGUAAGACGUAACAUGUCAACGCGGGUUACAGCAACAAAAAUCAUGGAGCAUGAUUAAGUAAUUCAAAUUACUGCAACAACACAUGCAAGAUCUAUUCAAAUAUGCAAACUGUAUCCUGUAGUUGAUAAUCUAAUGAGCAGAUUAGUCUGGAUCUCCUUUUUCGCUUAGAGUCUUUGCCAAACCAUUCUUGGCUGUAUCUGACCCUCCUCUCCGAAGUUGAUAUUUCUUAAGCAAAUGUUCUUUUGAUUCAUACACAUGUACCUUACACUUUAUAACUGCAUAGUGCAAUUACUAUAUAUUGUGAUACUUGGACAGCUUCUGUUUGCCACAUACCAUGUACUCUUAAACUUUCUGAUGUAUGUUGGACGAUCUCAUCUAAGUUAAAAUCCCUUGGAGAUUAUACUGUGAAGACAAAAUGAAAUGCACUCAGACAACACCAUAGACCGUAAGGUUUCAUCAUUCAUGGUCUUAGCAUUUCUGUAUAGGUGGAAUCCCACAGAACUCUUUUUCUGUACGGAGUGAUUUCCCUGAAGUUGUCUAAAAGACACUAUUAUUCUCAUCAAGCUUGUUUGUGACAAUGUUUGGUUGUGUGGCAGAGAGCAUCACAGAAUUACAGUUUUCUGACUGCUGAAGAGAUCGAGGAUUUGUGCACAUCAUGUGGUCUAACCAAUUACACAAGCAAAACUCAGCAAUCCUUCAUCAUGUUCUCUGCACAGAAGCCUUGACACCAAGUAAUGCUCAAAAUAAAGAUAUUAUUUGCCCCAUGAUUACUUUCAGUGUUUCUUCCUUAUCAAUACAGUGGGUCAGUACAUGAUUUCUGUGAACAUAUGACAUUGUAAGCUCGAGUUCUGGGGAGGUGUAAAGUAUUGUAUUGUUACCAAUAAGAAAGAUAUGCGUUUUGGUGUCAGAAUAAUAAAAUGUGAGGGCCUUCUUUGAGAGCUUCGUGACGGACUGAGGUGACGGUGCAACAGCCAACGCCACGGUCGGUUUUUUUGUUAAUGAUGGCUUGAAUUCAAUGUUUGAUGGUCCCUGAUGGUCAACUUGAUAAAAACAUUGUGUUGGUCUGUGGGCAAACUGAUCUAAUUUGUUUGCAGUGUUUUGGUCACCGAAACAAACGACUCACGAGAGUUUUCUUUUGUUGUUCUUAUCUUAGAAAAGGCCAAUUUCUUGGAGCUGAACAUAAUGUUAACACGUAGACCAAAGAAUUAAGUCGAAUUGACUCUUAUAAUGCUCCUUCUUUCAAAGGAAAAGAAGGGAUUCGAAUAAUCGUUGGAGAGAUAAACUUAUAAUGUCGUUUAGAUUCUAGCAAGAGAACGGAAUGAAAAGUUAUAAGUUAUGACUGUGUCUUUAAUGUCUUGUGUGAUUGCAAUAAAGACUACAAUAAAGGUAAAAACCGGGAAGAAGAGAAAAAUAUUUGAUAAAAGCGCCAAUACCUCCAAAUCCCUUUGAACUCUUCCAUUUUCAGAUGGACUUGCGGGACUUUUGUCACUAAGGCUUCACGUCACCAUCCAUAACCCAAUCCCCAAGCUCUCUUGCUAACUCGAUGAGCCAGUCUAUGGAGCUAUCAAUUUUUCAAAGCCAACUAUAUAAGGAGGAAAAAAUGCUAAAAAUGAAUCUCGAGAGGGGUUGGUUAUGUGUUAAGAAAUUUACAUUGCAAGUGAAUGAAUUAAUUUGAAUUGGAUUAUUUACCCGACUCAUUUAUUUNNNNNNNNNNNNNNNNNNNNNNNNNNNNNNNNNNNNNNNNNNNNNNNNNNNNNNNNNNNNNNNNNNNNNNNNNNNNNNNNNNNNNNNNNNNNNNNNNNNNCAACCUCUUCCAUAUCUAGAUAAAUUUGUAGGGAUGUUAACUAUUCCUGAUCCUACUUAUAUAUGUGUUGUGAUAUUCAUGGGAUAUCUUGUGAGCUUUAACAUGUGGCAUCCCAAAAUUAACUCAUUUGAGGUAUUUUUCGCUUUGGCUCAUCCCAUAUAAUUAAGUGUUAUGAUUUUGUCUUUUGGAUCUUAACUUUGGAAUUCCAAAGAAAAGCUUUAAAAAAGUGCCUCUGUGAUUUAAUUCCAAUUUUCAUGCACACGCACUCAUGCGCACACACAUCUAAGAAUCAUUAUCUUUUUAUUCAGUGCAUAGUUUAGUUGAUUCCCCGCCUCCUUCGCCAUCCUAAAAACAGAAAUGGCUCUUUAUCCAGACCCUUUGCCCCGACCUCGUUGGACUAGGUUGUUACACAAUAUAUAGGCUCUCCACAUGUAUACAUAUUGUUAUUGAUUCACGUUAAUAAUUUGUACAUUGAGAACCACGCUAGCAUCACUUUAGAUCUUUCUUUUAGAGACAAGGCUCUACAUGUGAGCUACUUCCUAUGAUAUUAAAUAAUAUACAUGAUAGUUUAACAUCAUGAAAAUUCCUAAAUGGAUACAUCUAUCUUAAAUUUAUGACAAACUAGUUUUUGUGUCAUAAAAAGCCCAUACUCCUAUACCCACGUUAUAUUUACCUUUGGUUAACUUCACUCAAAUUUAACGGUUAAAUUACUCAGUUGGAAUAACACAUGGUAACUCAGAUGAUGUCAAAGUUCAGAUAGAAAUUCAAAUUUCUGUCCCUUUUUUUAUUAUUUUAUUAUUACAGUUUUUAAUUUUACUGUCCCUUUUUAACAACAAAAUGUUUCAUUUUACCCAGAGGGCAUUGGCAAUUUGGCAUUAAUACUCAGCUUCCUCUUUUGCUUCUUAUUGCCCGACCAGAUCAAACCAACCCCUUUCUCCAUUUGUCAUCUUGCUUAAUUUCACUCAUCCCUCGCAUUCAUUCUCCCGCGCGCACUCGUCAGUGCCCUGUUUCUGUUCUCUGUUUAAUUUUCGUGUAAACUCGACAUCUACCUACGCAGGUACGAUAUAACCUCUCCUGUGAAACUUCUGCGUCGUCCCAUGUGACGGCUAGUGAUUAUAGGAGCAGGAAUUAGUGGCCUUCUCGCCUGCAAGUAUUCGAUCGAGAAGGGCUUUGACCCGGUGGUGUUCGAGGCCGACUACCACGUCGGGGGAGUCUGGAAUCACACCAUGCAAUCGACCAGGCUACAGAAUGAGAAGGAAGAUUACCGGUUCUCGGACUUCGAUUGGCCUUCCUCUGUGCAGGACAAGUACGAAGUACCCCAGCCACACAGAAGUCCUGGACUAUGUCAAGUCUUAUGCUCAGCACUUCAAUUUAUAUCCUUACAUCAAGUUCCAUUCCAGAGUGAUUUAUAUCGAUUAUGUUGGAGCGUCAUCCGAAGAAAUGAAGACGUGGGAUUUGUGGGGUGGAACGGGGACGGCAUUCAACUCGAAAGGGGGAGUGGCACAUUACCAUCCUAGACACAAAGACUAACGCCACAGAGGUAAAUUAACUAUUUCUUGAUAGUUCGGUUCAAUUCGAUCCUGAGAUUUGAGAAGCAUCAAUAUGUGCUUAUUGUCUAGUUUCAGUUUCUGCGAUCGCUUGAUGUGAUAUUAUGCGAGUGCUGCGUUUUGGCCAGGUUCACCAAGCUGAAUUUGUUAUUCUCUGCAUCGGACGGUUCAGUGGGCUUCCUAGCAUUCCGGAGCUCCCACCAGCCUAUUGCUCCAAAGUGUUCGAUGGCAAGGUGAUGCAUUCAAUGGAAUAUUCAGAUAUGGAGAAAUCUGCAGCGGCUGAGUUGAUUAAAGGAAAGCGAAUCACAAUUGUCGGUUCACAGAAAUCGGCCAAGGAUUUAGCAGUCUAAUGUGCAGAAGCAAAUGGUAAGAGCAACAUCACAAAUACUUAUCUGCCGGUAGGCUAUUGUUGGGUGAAUUGUCACUGUGAACUAUAUUCAAGUUCGAUCAAAGCUUUGAAAUUCGUGAUAUCUUCUGAAAGUUCAUCUGAAACUUCUUUAAUUUCGUCGAAAUACAUCAAUACCCAUUCUAUUGAAGACUAAAUCAGUCAUGGAAUGGGGUUCAAUCUUGCUUAAAGUAUCUAUACAUGAAUGAAUUUGUAUCUGCAACUCCUGACACAUCUUAUAGGACUUCAAUGGAUGCAGUAUCUACUACAUACCAGCAAGGACUUCAUCGAGAAAUGCGCUUUCCAUGCUUUAAAUGAUCAAAGCUUAUCUGAUAAUGUCGUUUUCCUUAUCUCAUUCUCAUUUUUUGAUCGGAAUCAGGAGUCAAGCACCCUUGUGUGAUGAUCCAGAGGAAUCCUCAUUGGUUGCUGCCUGGCAACGGCUUCUUAAUAUCUCACUUUGGUCACUUGUACUUCAAUCGAUUCGCUGAGCUGCGUCUUCAUAAGCCAGGACAAAACAUCCUGUACUGGCUUCUAGCCACAGUGCUUUCACCAUUGGUAUACACAUACUUCAACUUUUUUGGUUUAGUUCCACAAGACUUGCUUGUCUAUCAGUCAACCAUAAAAAAAUGACUCUUUUAUCCGGUUCACUUGCUUGUCUAUCAGUCAACCAUAAAAAAAUGACUCUUUUAUCCGGUUCAAGUUCUUUUUUCAUGAUUCUCUUUGUUAUAUGCAUCCACUUGUCAAUCAAAAAGUUUUCUCACACCCUGAAAUUCCUAGAGAUGGGGCAUCUCGAAGUUCUCGGAAAUCUAUCUCCAGUGGAAACUCCCGUUGAAGAAGUAUGGAUUAGUACCGAGACACAGCUUUCUUGAGGACUUGUCUUCGUGUCAAAUCGGCAUGCUGCCCGACAAUUUCUAUGAUAAAGUUGAGGAGGGAAGCAUCCUAAUCAAGAGGUCGCAGAGCUUUCGCUUCUGCAAGGAAGGUCUGAUAGUGGGCAGAGAAGACAAACCGAUCUCGAGCGAUCUCGUGAUCCUUGCCACCGGAUAUAAAGGCGAUCAGAAGCUCAAGAACAUUUUCAGAUCUUCAGUCUUCCAAAAGUACCUCGUCCCUUCACCUACUUCAACCAUUCCUCUUUACAGGUACCAUUUCAUACCUGCAGUUGCAAGUUGCAACACCAAGUAGCUUCAAUUUCCACUCAAAAACCUUGAUAUUCAAAAUGCUUAUCUUAUUGUCCAAGUGAGGAUUAGUUAUCAAGGACUGACAAUGAGAUAUUAUCUAACACCGAGAAGGCAUUGCAGCACUUGGCUAACCUUAAGGUCUCUGCUGUAUCAUCACGACAUUUAAGUGUGUUACUAAUUUCAGGACAUUCAAAAUGUAGUUUUUUUCUCAUAGGAUUUUGUAAUGAUGCUGUGCCCGAUCCUGGUUUUGUUGCAAUGGUCUUAUAUACCAACUUCAGGCAGGUGAUUCAUCCUCGGAUUCCGCAGCUCGCAAUUUUAGGAUACGCGGAGGGCCUUGCAAACCUGCCGUCCUUUGAGAUCAGAUGCCAGUGGCUCACGCACCUCCUCGACGGGAACAUCAAGCUACCGAGCAUUGGGGCAAUGGAAAAGGACACAGCCAGGUGGGAAAGUCACAUGAAGCAAUACGGCAGGAGGAACUUCUGGAGAUCAUGCGUUGGAACCACCAACAUUUGGUACAAUGACCAGCUGUGCAAGGACAUGAACUGCAAUCCCAGAAGAAAGAAGGGGUUUUUGGCCGAGUGGUUCCAACCUUAUGGACCAGCUGAUUAUGCAGGCCUCGCUGAUCAGAAACGCUGAACAACAAACAUGUC